rnacentral:rRNA from 1 species
CCUACGGGAGGCAGCAGUGGGGGAUAUUGCACAAUGGGGGGAACCCUGACGCAGCGACGCCGCGUGAGUGAAGAAGUAAUUCGGUAUGUAAAGCUCUAUCAGCAGGGAAGAAUAAAUGUAGUUACCUGAGUAAGAAGCUCCGGAUAACCUCGUGCCAGCAGCCGCGGUAAUACGUAGUGGGCAAGCGUUAUCCGGCUUUACUGGCUGUAAAGGGAGCGAAGACGGCGAUGCAAACCAGAUGUGAAAGCUCGCGGCUCAACUGCGGUAGUGCAUUUGAAACUGUAUGGCUGGAGUGCAGGAGAGGCAGGCGGAAGUCCUAGUGUAGCGGUGAAAUGCGUAGAUAUUUGGAGGAACACCAGUGGCGAAGGCGGCCUGCUGGAAUGGAACUGACGUUGAGGCGCGAAAGCGUGGGGAGCAAACAGGAUUAGAUACCCUUGUAGUC